rnacentral:lncRNA from 1 species
UCCGAUUGAAUCCAAGCUGGAAGCAUAGGAAAAGCGUUUCAAGAGGCAACGAGGGACCCGACUCAGAAUAGAGCCCCUCAAACCAUCAAACUGAAAUCUUAGUGGUAGUGGGUGAGAUAAGAGGAGAAGGAAGACAGGAAAACUAAUUGUGCAUGUCGGAUUCAGACAUCCCCAACAGCUAGAAACAGAUUCGACAAGAAAGAAGAAUAUACGCCUUGAUCACCAACACUGAAACCUCGCCUUCCGACUCCAACUCAGGCACAACAACCCCCAUCAAUUUUUUUUAUUUUU